UACAGAGGGGGCAAGCGUUGUUCGGAAUUACUGGGCGUAAAGGGCGCGUAGGCGGCCCGCUAAGUCGAACGUGAAAUCCCCGAGCUCAACUCGGGAACUGCGUCCGAUACUGGUGGGCUUGAAUCCGGGAGAGGGAUGCGGAAUUCCAGGUGUAGCGGUGAAAUGCGUAGAUAUCUGGAGGAAUACCGGUGGCGAAGGCGGCAUCCUGGACCAAUACUGACGCUGAGGUGCGAAAGCGUGGGGAGCAAACAGG
rnacentral:rRNA from 1 species